AGGGAUCAUUGCUGGAACGCGCCCCAGGCGCACCCAGAAACCCUUUGUGAACUUAUACCUUACUGUUGCCUCGGCGCAUGCCGGCCCCCCCGGGGGCCCCUCGGAGACGAGGAGCAGGCACGCCGGCGGCCAAGUUAACUCUUGUUUUUACACUGAAACUCUGAGAAAAAACACAAAUGAAUCAAAACUUUCAACAACGGAUCUCUUGGUUCUGGCAUCGAUGAAGAACGCAGCGAAAUGCGAUAAGUAAUGUGAAUUGCAGAAUUCAGUGAAUCAUCGAAUCUUUGAACGCACAUUGCGCCCUCUGGUAUUCCGGAGGGCAUGCCUGUUCGAGCGUCAUUUCAACCCUCAAGCAUUGCUUGGUGUUGGGGCACUGCCUGUAAAAGGGCAGGCCCUGAAAUCUAGUGGCGAGCUCGCCAGGACCCCGAGCGCAGUAGUUAAACCCUCGCUCUGGAAGGCCCUGGCGGUGCCCUGCCGUUAAACCCCCAACUUCUGAAAAUUUGACCUCGGAUCAGGUAGGAAUACCCGC
rnacentral:rRNA from 1 species